rnacentral:rRNA from 1 species
CCCUUAGAUGUUCUGGGCCGCACGCGCGCUACACUGAUGCGUUCAACAAGUUUCCUUGGCCGAGAGGCCUGGGCAAUCUUCUUAAUAUGUAUCGUGAUAGGGAUAGAUUAUUGCAAUUAUUAAUCUUGAACGAGGAAUUCCUAGUAAACGCAGGUCAUCAAUCUGCAUUGAUUACGUCCCUGCCCUUUGUACACACCGCCCGUCGCACCUACCGAUUGGAUGUUCCGGUGAAGCCUCGGGAUGAGGACUGGUGCCUUUAUUGGCAUGAGUUGUUCAGAACUUGUCUAAACCUUAUCAUCUAGAGGAAGGUGAAGUCGUAACA